AUUUCAGGGCGACUUUGGGAACACAAUAGUCGACUCGCCGACGUUCCCUUAGACGCGUUGCCAUACGUCGUCACCCAUAGAAACGGCUUUCCGCGGGGCAGACUCCAAGUCUCGCCUGUGUGAGCGGGCAGGGGUAGCAGGAAAGGCUGUUUUUCAUUUCCAAGAGAAAACCGUCACCCCGCCCACCUCGAACCUCCUCCCAACAUCUCAGGAUAGAAACGCCGCGCUCAGAAAGAUACAAGUCUUCUCAUUGGAAAUGUUAACCAAGAUGAAUGAAAUGGAAACCAACACCUGGACAUGUCAUGGUGAAAUGUUAGAACACUGGGCACGAAGGUAAAAUCCUAAAAGCUUCCAAAGAGAUAAACAGGUUAAGCUCAAAGGAAUGGGAAUCAGUGUGGCAUCAGGUUUCUCAUUGGCAUCAUUGCUGGAAGACAACAAUCUGAGGAAAAAUCAGACUGAGAAAAACUAUCUUUCAAGUGAGAGUGCAAAAUAUGGUUAUUUUUGUAUAUCCAAAGAUUCUGAAAUUGUACCAUCCACAGAUCUUUACUGAAAUAAUCAUGUGGGGUUGAACUCUAGCAAUGUGAACAAUGAAUCCAAGAAAAAAGGAGACAUGGGAUUCAGGAACUAAUGUGAGGGGCACAUGAGGUAGGCUUGAGGCCCUGUAUUCUGUGUGACUUCUAAUUACCCGGUAUCCAGGAGAUCUGAGGCUGUAUCCCACCAGGACCCAUUCCAAUCCCAGAUGGUACUUAGGAGUUUCAUCAACAACAAGCUUCUCUUCAAUAAAGAUUAUCAGAAGUUUUGUUGGCUACAAAGGACUCAUCCAACUUAGAACUAAACUCUGGAAUAUGGCUUUAUUCUAUUGUUUCUCUCUUUUUUAUUUUUUAGUUUAUUAUUUUUUUUGAAACAGGGUCCCACUCCUGUCAUCCAGGCUGGAGUGCAGUGGCGCCAUCAUGGCUCACUGCAGGCUGGAAUUCCCAGGCUCAGGUGAUCCUCCCACCUCAGCCUCCCAAGUAGCUGUGACUACAGGCCUGUGCCACCACGCCCAGCUAAUUUUUUUGUGUUUGUUGUGGAGACAUAGAGAUGGCGUUUUGCCAUGUUGCCCAGGCUGGUCUCAAACUCCUAGACUCAGGUGAAGUGUGAGCCGCCUCUCCUGGCCUAUUCUUUUGUCUCUUAAAGGAUUAAAAUUAAGGAGGUCACAUUUGCCAUGAAAAGUUCAUGAUAUUUUGUUCAUCACUGCAUUUUGCCUUUGAAUGAAAAAGUUUGUUCUUUCUCAGAGAGGCACAUAAAGAUCGGAACUGGUAUAGCAAAGCAGCCUGUGAAGUCAAACUAGUGUGGGUUUGAAUUAUGACUCUGUGAUUUCCUCUUGAGUAAAAUAUUUAACCUCCCUGA